UAAAGAUCGUGUUGAGCUUUUCCUUGCUGCAGCACACAUGGGGGUUUUGGUUUUUCAGGAUGGGUCCAAAAUCAACACAUUCUCCUGGGCAAAAAUAAGAAAGCUUAGUUUUAAGAGAAAACGAUUUCUUCUAAAGCUUCAUCCGGAGAUAUUUGGACAUUACAAAGAUAUUGUGGACUUUCAAAUGACCAGUAGAGAUGCUUU